GGGUGCGAUCAUACCGGCACUAAUGCACCGGAUCCCAUCAGAACUCCGCAGCUAAGCGUUCUUGGGCGAGAGUAGUACUAGGAUGGGUGACCUCCUGGGAAGUCCUCGUGUUGCACCCC
rnacentral:rRNA from 1 species